UACGUAGGGUGCGAGCGUUGUCCGGAAUUAUUGGGCGGAAAGAGCUCGUAGGCGGUGUGUCGCGUCGGCCGUGAAAACCUGCAGCUUAACUGUGGGCGUGCGGUCGAUACGGGCAUCACUGGAGUUCGGCAGGGGAGACUGGAAUUCCUGGUGUAGCGGUGAAAUGCGCAGAUAUCAGGAGGAACACCGGUGGCGAAGGCGGUUCUCUGGGCAUUACCUGACGCUGAGGAGCGAAAGCGUGGGGAGCAAACAGG
rnacentral:rRNA from 1 species